rnacentral:rRNA from 1 species
CUUGAAUAUCUAUAAGAGGUCCAGCCUGCCCAGUGACUCUGUUCAACGGCCGCGGUAUCCUAACCGUGCGAAGGUAGCGUAAUCACUUGUUCUUUAAAUGAGGACUAGUAUGAAUGGCACCACGAGGGUUAUACUGUCUCCUUUUUCUAAUCAGUGAAACUAAUCUCCCCGUGAAGAAGCGGGGAUAAAAAUAUAAGACGAGAAGACCCUAUGGAGCUUUAAACUUAAUAACAAGUACUACCCUUUAUUUAACUUUCAGAACAUAUACCUUUAUUCUAGUAUUAUGAUUAUUAGUUUUAGGUUGGGGUGACCGCGGAGCAAAAAUCAACCUCCACAUUGAACGGAACUCAUUCCUGAGCAAAAAGCCACGACUUUAAGCACCAACAAAUUGACAUCAAUUGACCCAAUAUUUUGAUCAACGAAC